rnacentral:rRNA from 1 species
CCCGCACAAGCGGUGGAGCAUGUGGUUUAAUUCGACGCAACGCGAAGAACCUUACCAGGGCUUGACAUGCUAGUGGUAGUGACGCGAAAGCCGAACGACCCUUCGGGGAGCUAGCACAGGUGCUGCAUGGUUGUCGUCAGCUCGUGCCGUGAGGUGUUAGGUUAAGUCCUGCAACGAGCGCAACCCUCGUCGCUAGUUACUUUUCUCUAGCGAUACUGCCCGUAUAACGUGGAGGAAGGUGGGGAUGACGUCAAGUCAGCACGGCCCUUACAUCCUGGGCUGCACACACGCUACAAUGGGUGAUACAACAGGUUGCAAUAGAGCGAUCUGGAGCCAAUCCCUAAAAUCAUCCUCAGUACGGAUUGCAGGCUGCAACUGCCUGCAUGAAGUUGGAGUUGCUAGUAAACGCAGGUCAGCACACUGCGUUGAAUACGUUCUCGGGCCUU